rnacentral:lncRNA from 1 species
UAUUUCAAAUGGGAAAUAAAAAAAAUAACCCGGAAACGAAAACCAAAAAAAAUUGUGGCGGCGACAAUGGCGGCACGCCGCCCUGUCUAGGGUUUUUCUCAAGUGGUGAUGGCUAGGACUUGAUUAUUUGUGUGUGGUGCGGCGGAAACGGUAUAGAGCGCGGGCUCUGAUACCAUGUAAGAUGAUGGUAAAACUGAUUGAUCCAUUCAUUCAUUAACGAUUACAAUAUAUAGAGAUGCCACGAAACCCUAGCUAUCUUAAGUGAGCCCGUGAGCUCACACAAUAUAGUCCAAUACUCCCCCGCAGUCGGAGCGGUAGAGAAUCGGACGUUCAGACUGGAAUAAAAAACAUAAACAAAACAAUAACUAGUUUCGAUCUCGGUUCUUAACUUGUAGGUCCACAAUCCUCCUUAAAAAAUCAGCGAGCUGCUUUAUUUUGCCAAAAGAUUAAUCCAUAUUCUUCAAAGUAGUGAUCCCGAAGUGUUGCAAAGGGUGCGGUGAAGGACCGUAGUCCUACAAAGGGGCGGCGGCGUGACCGUGGUCAUGCGACGGCUAAGCACGGUGACAAAACUGUAAGAUCCUUGAAACUGAGAUUAGGAUUUCUUGACUUUUUGAUUCACGGCGUCCCCCUAUUUUGGUUCAUUGUCCCCGGAAUUAUCUAACAUGAUUGCUAUCCCAACCAAACAGAAGAAAGAAAGAGAGAAGGGAAAAUAAAAUAAAUAAAAUAUAGAUGCCCAACGACCGUGGUGGCGGUGUGUCAAAUCGAAGCCCGGUGACCGUAGCCAGGCGGCGAUCUUCAGGGACAACAAAUCGAGAUCCGACGAGAACAAAAGAAACAAAUAGACACCCGGCGACCAAGGUCGUGCGGCGGUGUGUCAAACCAAAGGCCGGUGACCGUAGUCAGGCGGCAAUCUCUGCUGGCAGCGGAGCAUGGUCUAGUAUAACAAAAGAAAGGAAACGAACUAGGAGAUGCGAUAGCAGAUCUGGAAGGAGAGACAUAACCCGGCGAGAAAUCUUCAUCUUAAUGAAAGAGUGGGUGGGUUUGCGGGAACCAACUGAAACAGAACCAAACAAAUUCGGCGAAACGAAAAUCCAAUCGGAUAGGAAGGUGCAACCUGAGAUUCAGAGGAAACUAAAAAAAACUUCGGCAACGGCGGCUCUACUCGCUCACAAUCAGUUUCGCUUUGUGUAUGUAAGUCUAGUUCAACGAUCAUGACUGCAACUACGGCAACGAUGACACAGAAUUGUUUAAAAGUUGCAUUUUCAAACAAAAUAUUAGAUAUAUAUUAAUCAUUGAUAAUGAUAAUAUCAAUAAUUCUUUCG